rnacentral:rRNA from 1 species
GCAAACUGGAUGAAUUUUCAUCACAGUAUUGCAAUGAGAACAAUGUAAAUGCUUUAUCCAUUAACAAUUGGAGGGCAAGUCUGGUGCCAGCAUCCGCGGUAAUUCCAGCUCCAAUAGCGUAUAUUAAAGUUGUUGCAGUUAAAAAGCUCGUAGUUGAAUUUCUGUACAUUCCCAGUUCUGGCUUCGGUCAAGCUGUGGAAUGUGCAUCCCCUUGCAAACUUAAACCGGCCUUCACUGGUCGACUAAGGGAGUAAGCCCUUUACUUUGAAAAAAUUUUUAGUUUUUUUAGGCAGGCAAUGGCUCGAAUACAUUAACAUGGAAUAAUGGAAUAGGACUUUUGUCCAUUUGGUUGGUUAUUGGACAUAAGUAAUGAUUAAAAGGGACAGUUG